CCUCGUGAACGGUUGAACUUCCGCAGUGCAAUAUCGUGUUCCUGGGAGCAAGUUGUACGUACAGCCUCGUCCUGAGGUCCUCGAGCGAUCUGAGAACGGCGAACGGCCAGCUAGCUCUGGCCGGUACUCCUUGCGUGCCGGGCGAUAUCCACCCACGGCGACUGCGCCCUUGCAGUUCUUCUCUAUCCUUUCCUACAUUUCACCCUCACACUUGUUCUCGCUACACCUCUCUGUCUUCCCGAUUGUCAGACUAUCCUGCUUUUCCUCAUCAGGCGCCCUUCUUCGCACGAUCCUACCUCCCUAUACCUAGAGUUACGUACAGCAGCUACGUUGCCUACCUCUAGCUACCCUUAUACGUCUUCUGUAUCUGUCUUACCCUUACGUGCCAUAGCUCACGUUCUACUAUUUUACCUAUUCCUCCUCUUUCUCUUUGCCUUCCCUUCCUAUUGUGCCUUUUCUCUCUUUUCACAUACAUAUACAAUAUACACGUAUUCCUCUUACAAACGACCGAUGGCCAACCUAUCCUUCCGACUCCUGGUGAACGGGCCCGUAAAGUGAUUCGACCCUUUCGCAUUUGCAAGUAUACUUCCACCUACUCCAUUGUACGUCUUAUUAUACGUAUAGGAGAAAAUUUUGCGAUUUCGCCAAAAGCACAAUGGAUUCAUCGCCAGAUGGUUAAUCGCUUUUUUAUUUAAGAUUUAUCUGCACGUCCUACGUGUAUUCCAGCUUGCGUGUUGGAAAUUACAUACUUGAAUUGGGUCUACAUUGAAUUACUUAUACUUUAUCGCCACGGUGGAGUUCGUAGUUCACAGUUCAAGCGAUGUAUCGAAGAAUUGAAUUAGUUUUCAUGAAAUUCAACAGCGACGCUCGACACGUGGAGGCUAUUGCGACUUAACCGGAGUUUCCACGUAGUUUCGUAAACCCAUCACGCACUCUGGCGACGAAACCUCGAAUCUCCAUACUUUUGGAAAUUCCUGCGGAUUACACGGGAGGUCUGGUUUCUGCGGUGUCUGCAGUUCCUGUGGGAAUAACCGGUCAAUUAAAUUUCUUGCGGCAGCAAGCAACUUUUCAACGUGGAAUUUCGAUGAGGCUUCAUUCCGUUCAUUCGUUGUGACCUCGGGAUAGUAACUUUUUGGGGGGACUUUUGCUUUUGGUCAUUUGCUUAAUCAUGGCUGACUUUAAAAUUAGUAUAUCAGUUGUGCCUUCUUUCAGCUUAAGGAAUAACAAUCACGCUGUGCGAAUCUUCCAGAGGUUAUGUUCGUCAUGCAUCCACACCGAGUCAUCGAAUUAUAUAUAAACCGGGGCACCAUCGCGAAUCGAGGUUUCACGCGUACUAUGCCAAAUGUCAAUAAUUGCAUCCUGCGGCCGUCUGCUAACGAAAUAAGCACAUACCAUUCGGAUACAGUAAAUAUUGCACCGUGAGCUACAACCACGUAAACGCUCGUAUCCGCCUUAUUGGAAUGAGAGUCAUAAUUCAUAGGCAGUUUACUAUCUGCAAUAGAACAGUCAAGGGAUAAAAGAUUUCCUACAGCCACCCGAUAUCAGCGAUUAAUUGCAGUGACUGCUUAAUUAAGGAAAUGGACGUCGGUCUCAGGCUUUCUCUAAGUUAAAAAAAUGCUUUCGAUAUUAACACGCCACCUCGUACUAUACGGCACUUUUGUCGACUACAUCCUCUCCGUUCUCGUUGCUCACCAGGAUACCUCUACCCCGCAGCUCCAAGUUAUCCUACUGUGACGGAAAACGGAAAGCUCCUGUGCCACCCGCGGUUCGUGGCAAUCCGCAAGCUGCGACAAUAACAGGGCUCGAGAUACGACCUUAACGUCUCCGGUGUACUGUGACACUACGUACUAGGUGUCCAAAGUGAAAUCAACGAAACUGGAUUUUAGUUUAGUCAGACGUUAUUGCAUGUACAAAAUGUCGAGCAGCAGCCAUUCGAUUCGACGAGAACGUAUACGGUUCUAUGAUGCGAUAAAUCUUGUUACGAGUGGCAAAAAAGUUUUUCGAAUUUUCAUUUCAAUAAGUCUAUACGUAUGUUGGAUAGAUCAGAUCAACUGAAAAUAGUACCACCAGACUGGAGCCUAUGUAUACUGUAUGCACUAGACUACCCAUUGUGUCACGUCGAGGAGUCAGUACGGUAACAUGAGAUUUUGAAAUGUUCCGUUGCAGAUGCGUAACACAGUAUUUAUAAAUUAGCUGCGUAGAAGCGUGAAUACACAGGUAUAUCACUCGCUAUUCGCUAUGCACGUACGCAUUACGUUACAUUAGAUACGUAAUUUAUAAACAGGCAUCCGUAUACGGUUAAUGAGAUAUUUAUAAACGUUCAAUCUAGACUGCUAAUGUACUGGAUUUAUUAAUCAUGCACGCAAAUCCGUAUAACGUUUCUGAAUGACGGCCAUGGCCCUUGGUAAAAUUAAUGAAUCAGUGGUGGACGUAAUUUAGCGAUAGAAUAAAUUUUCAAUGAAUUUUAACCUUUCACGUGGAUCUGUACGUUUAACAUAACCGCACAAACACUAAAUGUCAAUCUGUGAAUGCGUAACCUUGUUCUUUCAGUUAUCUUCUAUAACUUUGACGUCCAGUGUUGAGUUUAUUGAUGGAACAGGAACGUGGAAUUUUAGCGUGGAAACUGGGUUCGCUCUCGAAGUUUUCCCAAUAAUAGUAACUCGGUACGCUCGCAUAAGAAAUUGCGUUGGAAAAGUGCACACCGCGUUGAUAGCCACGUCGGGAACCUUUCCCAAGGUCGUAAAGCAAAAGGUCGCGAAACCUCAAUAUUGCUGCUUUCAUCGUCUGAAUUAUCGAGAAUAUGCAGUUUCGACAGGCAGCCAUAGUGUGGUGGGUUUACUGCGAAUUUUAUAUAUUGUAAAUCCCCUUGCAGUGUUUAUCAUAUGUGUAUAGGACACGUCUAGGUUAUGAGGGCAAGAAAAAAGGAACAAGAGAAACGUUACUCUGAAUAUGACUGCAAGUUUCGUCAGGCUGAAAAAGUUUCAGGAAAAAAUGUUCUCAGAUAUUCAUUCAUAAUGACAGUAAGUAAUGGACGAAGCGGCUCCUCACUGAAUUGUUUAUAACGAAAGAUAUUUAAGAGAAAAAGUUCAUAAAAUUGGGAAAUCAUUUACAUUUUUAUUUUUUCAAUACAACCUAAAAAGGCA